ACAAGCCGAUUCCCUCCAAAUUUAACUUCCCUUUUCCCACCCGAGGUUCCUGCUGUACUCCGGAUCACGUUUCGUUACGAACAAUGCUUAAUCUCAUUCUAAGAGAUUCUCGACCCUAGCACCCACAUUUCAGUAAUCAGAUCACUGACAAUUAGGCGUAAAUUCAUGGACUGACCGGCUGAGCAAUCGGGGAAUGCGGCGGAAGUUGGCGCCACUGAGAUCGUUAAACGGUUGCUCAGAAGUGUUCGCCGUCAAGAACAGGAGGAGAAUGGAGUCGAUCCUGAGAAGGAACAAUUACGGUGAGGAUGAGGAGUUAUGCGGGAGUCGGAACAAGAAGAAAAGGAAGUCGAAGAGGAAGAUGACGCCUCAGUCGAGAAGUUCGAAGAAGGCGAAGGCAAAGCGAGCCAUGAACAUAAGAAAAUUGUUCAUUCUGAAGAGGCAACACCGACAAUUCCCGACAUGCGUCUGUAGGUAAAAAUGAUUAGAGAGUGGUAGUUUUCUAUAGGUAUCUUUGGUGUCUAAAGAGAUGAUAGCCUGAAGAAUAUUCUCCUCAUCACGGGAUCAUCUGGGUGCUGGUCUCCUCUACCUCCAGCGUGUGUAGUAACUCCAUUUUUGAUUGAUGGAUUAUGAAUAUAAAUAUAAAGUAUAAAUAUUGUUUCUUAUUAAAAAAAAAAAAAAACUUGACUGUGUCUAAUAUAUU